rnacentral:rRNA from 1 species
GACGAACGCUGGCGGCGUGCUUAACACAUGCAAGUCGAACGGAAAGGCCCUGCUUUUGUGGGGUGCUCGAGUGGCGAACGGGUGAGUAACACGUGAGUAACCUGCCCUUGACUUUGGGAUAACUUCAGGAAACUGGGGCUAAUACCGGAUAGGAGCUCCUGCUGCAUGGUGGGGGUUGGAAAGUUUCGGCGGUUGGGGAUGGACUCGCGGCUUAUCAGCUUGUUGGUGGGGUAGUGGCUUACCAAGGCUUUGACGGGCAGCCGGCCUGAGAGGGUGACCGGCCACAUUGGGACUGAGAUACGGCCCAGACUCCUACGGGAGGCAGCAGUGGGGAAUAUUGCACAAUGGGCGGAAGCCUGAUGCAGCAACGCCGCGUGCGGGAUGACGGCCUUCGGGUUGGAAACCGCUUUCGCCUGUGACGAAGCGUGAGUGACGGUAAUGGGGAAAGAAGCACCGGCGAACUACGU